rnacentral:rRNA from 1 species
UACGGAGGGUGCAAGCGUUAUCCGGAAUCACUGGGUUUAAAGGGCGCGUAGGCGGCCGUUCAAGGGCGCGGUGAAAGCCCGGGGCUCAACCCCGGGUCGGCCGUGUCGACUGGAGGGCUCGAGCUCUGUAGGGGCGGGUGGAAUUCCGGGUGUAGCGGUGGAAUGCGUAGAGAUCCGGAGGAACACCAGCGGCGAAGGCGGCAUCCUGGACUGGUCCUGACACUCAGGAGCGAAAGCGUGGGGAGCGAUCCGG